ensembl:lncRNA
AAAGAUUGAAGGCAAGAGAAGGCGAUGACAGAGGAUGAGAUGGUUGGAGGGCGUCCCCGACUUGAUGGAUGUGAGUUUGAGCAAGCUCUGGGAGUUGAUGAUGGCCAGGAAACCCUGGUGUGCUAUAGUCCACGGGGUCGCAAAGAGUCAGACAUGACUGAACGACUGAACUAAACUGAUGGAGACAAGAGAGAGCAGAUUCCAGCAGUGACCCAGCCAUAGCUCUGGAGCCUCGGGGGCCUGGGAGGAAGUGGAACUUCCCCAAAGUCUGAAGAGCUGCUCUGUCCAACCCUGGAGGACCACGGCUUUCCUCCAAAGUCAAGACACUGGGUUUCGACACUCACUGCCUUUUGCAUGGAGCCAUUGUCCUUGAAAGGCGGGUGGGCAACCCCUGGGGUACAGAUGAGACCAACUGGGCCCUGGGCCCUGGACCCUUUGCUGUAGUGCUUGUACUUAGAUGAAUGUCUCCUCCAGCAGCAAAAUAGAAACGAUAAGGGACUAAUAAUAACAGUGUGUAUUCACCGUGGGGGAUGGCUGGGAAAUCCCACGGACAGCGGAGCCUGGUGGGCGGCAAUCUGUAAGGUCGCAGAGGCGGACACGGCUGAAAUGCAGGCUGAGCUGCAGCAGCAGCGUGAAGAAGACACCGACACAACUGCCGCUCCUGAGGGGCUGGGAGCAAAAACAGGAAGUCGGGGCAAGAGCAGGGCCUGUGCGUGCCCCCUGCACUUUGCACCACCAAGGGGUGGGCUGACCACUGAGCGACCCGUCCUGCCCACCCCCUGCACACACCUCGGCCUUCACCCUGCGUAGGGAACCAGCUCAUCCCUGCGUGGGGAGCGAUCGAACAAGGAUACUGGUUACUGUUCUCACUCCCCCAACUGCGGCCGGGGCCCCAGCAAAGCCUUGCCUGAAUUCCAGUCCAGCCUCAUAUCAAUUUCUAUUGAGUUAGGAGACCAAGAAAUCCGGUCGGUAAAUACUGACAAAUACUGAGAUGACACGGGAUGCCCACAGGCAGAUGCGGCCCGGCUGCUUCCUGGGAGCAGUCACUUGGGGCCCCUGCUUGGACGGGUCUGUGCCUGGUUAAAUGUUCUGCAGUCUGGAAAUUCUUAAUACCUUUUGAACAAGGGGCCCUGCAAUUUCCCUUUAUGCUGGACUCUGCUAAUUCUGUGACCAGUCCUGCCCGCCCCCAUUGGCUCUUGCUGCUUUUGCCAGAGGUGAAAACUGACAAUAAAAUGGGAAAUCUUCCCCGAGAGACUCACAACCUGAG